rnacentral:rRNA from 1 species
AAUAUUGCACAAUGGGCGAAAGCCUGAUGCAGCAACGCCGCGUGAGUGAUGAAGGCAUUCGGGUCGUAAAGCUCUUUGAUCAGGGAAGAUAAUGACAGUACCUGAAAAACAACACACGCCUUACUACGUGCGAGCAGCCGCGGUAAUACGUAGGUGGCGAGACUUGGCCGGAAUUACUGGGCGUAAAGGAUGCGUAGGUGGACACUUAAGUGGGAUGUGAAAUCCCCGGGCUCAACCCGGGAACUGCAUUCCAAACUGGGUAUCUAGAGUGCAGGAGAGGAAAGCGGAAUUCCUAGUGUAGCGGUGAAAUGCGUAGAUAUUAGGAGGAACACCAGUGGCGAAGGCGGCUUUCUGGACUGUAACUGACACUGAGGCAUGAAAGCGUGGGUAGCAAACAGG